rnacentral:rRNA from 1 species
AUUGAACGCUGGCGGCAGGCCUAACACAUGCAAGUCGAGCGGAUGAAGGGAGCUUGCUCUUGGAUUCAGCGGCGGACGGGUGAGUAAUGCCUAGGAAUCUGCCUGGUAUUGGGGGAUAACGUCCGGAAACGGGCGCUAAUACCGUAUACGUCCUGAGGGAGAAAGUGGGGGAUCUUCGGACCUCACGCUAUCAGCUGAGCCUAGGUCGGAUUAGCUAGUUGGUAGGGUAAAGGCCUACCAAGGCGACGAUCCGUAACUGGUCUGAGAGGAUGAUCAGUCACACUGGAACUGAGACACGGUCCAGACUCCUACGGGAGGCAGCAGUGGGGAAUAUUGGACAAUGGGCGAAAGCCUGAUCCAGCAAUGCCGCGUGUGUGAAGAAGGUCUUCGGAUUGUAAAGCACUUUAAGAUGGGAAGAAGAGAAGUAAGUUAAUACCUGGCUGUUUUGACGUUACCAACAGAAUAAGCACCGGCUAACUUCGUG